UGCGUAGGCGGCUUUCUAAGUCGGAUGUGAAAACUCUGGGCUCAACCCAGAGCCUGCAUCCGAAACUGGAGAGCUUGGGUUCUGGAGGGGAAAGCGGAAUUCCUGGUGUAGCGGUGAAAUGCGUAGAUAUCAGGAGGAACACCGGUGGCGAAGGCGGCUUUCUGGACAGAUACCGACGCUGAGGCACGAAAGUGGGAGGCGAAACAAC
rnacentral:rRNA from 1 species